UACGUAGGGUGCGAGCGUUAAUCGGAAUUACUGGGCGUAAAGUGUGCGCAGGUGGCCGCGCAAGUCGAGUGUGAAAUCCCCGAGCUUAACUUGGGAAUUGCGCUCGAAACUACGUGGCUCGAGUGUGGCAGAGGAAGGUGGAAUUCCACGUGUAGCGGUGAAAUGCGUAGAGAUGUGGAGGAACACCGAUGGCGAAGGCAGGUCUCUGGGCCACUACUGACGCUGAGAAGCGAAAGCAUGGGGAGCGAACAGG
rnacentral:rRNA from 1 species